UUGUUUUGUUUUUUUGGAUUUUGGAUUUCUCAUAGUAUUAUUCCAUAAAUCAGAAAAUACUGUCAACGUCAUGUUUUUAAGAGUAAAAUGUUAUAUAAACCAGGACGAAUGAACGAACCUUUCUGUUAAAACCUUCAGAAUAUAGACUGGGGGUUUAAAAGUUUUUUUUUUUUUUUUUGUACCAGAAGCCUUUAAAGGUGUUGCUAAGUGAAAUCUAUAGAUGCAAAUAGCAAUAAAAAAUAAACGCAUGUAUUUUGCAGUAUGUUAAUUGGUUGACAUUUUCCUGUUUUUCAUGACGUGGAUCCUUUAAAAGGCUUUACACUGAAACUGACACAUUAUCAGGUUCAUAGUAAAGCUAAACACAUUUCUGUGUUUUCUUUCCAUUGGUCUGAUAUAAGACACGGUAUGGAAGCAAAUUGCCCAAAAAGGGCCAAAAAAUUACCAGUGCCUUCGGAUUUUUUUUCUUUUCUUUUUUUUAUAUACUUUUUUUCUUUUACCUUAAAGGGGUCAUUUAUUUUUGUGCAUUUUUGUAUUUCUACGAAUUUAUAGUAAAAAGCUUGCAUGUAGUCUGACCUGUACGGAUUAUCUUCACAUUUUUCAUUUAUUUACUGAAUUCUCUCAAAUCAACAGCAUGUCCUGUUGUAGGAGGUGACGAAUUCAUUCAGACAAAAGCUGUUGAAAUGUUCUCUAUAUUGUCCUAUAAUGUAAAUUCCUGAUAGCACAGUGCUAUUUGACAAGUAUGUGAUCAUAUAGCUGGUGAGAUGCUCUCAUUAUCGCAGACUGCUGAAAACUCAACUACUGAAGCAAUCAGUACUUUACAGGAAAUGGCAGCUGUUACUUUGGCUGAGUGAUUUUACCCAUCUGCCAACGGCUACGGGAGGAAAUGGCUGCUUUGAUCCCUCUGUGUUUGCUCGCUGUUUAAAUUUGUGCACAGAUAGUUUAAUUUUUCCUUGCAGAUGAUAAAACAUGCAUGAAAUCCAUGAAAAAAAAACAACAACAACAAAAAUAAAAACCUAGUUACACUUAACUUUGCUUGGAAAUGUCAGUGUGCAGUGUUGAUUCUGUAGUUUGACUGUGAAAUCAUUAAACUGACCCAGCUAAGGAAAUGCCCUCAAACUGUGUGCUUGUGUGGGUGGACACCAAAUUCAUCCGUUAAAUCCGAGAAAGACCGACAUAACAACAGAGGCAAUUGUAGUAAAUUGUGUUAACAGCAGAGCUGAAUGUGAUUUGAGCGUAUGAUCUAGUCUUCAGUUCACUUUAAUAAGCCUCCUGUGGUUCAGACGAAAAGGUAAAA
rnacentral:lncRNA from 1 species